GAUGAACGCUGGCGGCGUGCCUAAUACAUGCAAGUCGAGCGAACGGACGAGAAGCUUGCUUCUCUGAUGUUAGCGGCGGACGGGUGAGUAACACGUGGAUAACCUACCUAUAAGACUGGGAUAACUUCGGGAAACCGGAGCUAAUACCGGAUAAUAUUUUGAACCGCAUGGUUCAAAAGUGAAAGACGGUCUUGCUGUCACUUAUAGAUGGAUCCGCGCCGCAUUAGCUAGUUGGUAAGGUAACGGCUUACCAAGGCAACGAUGCAUAGCCGACCUGAGAGGGUGAUCGGCCACCCUGGAACUGAGACACGGUCCAGACUCCUACGGGAGGCAGCAGUAGGGAAUCUUCCGCAAUGGGCGAAAGCCUGACGGAGCAACGCCGCGUGAGUGAUGAAGGUCUUCGGAUCGUAAAACUCUGUUAUUAGGGAAGAACAUAUGUGUAAGUAACUGUGCACAUCUUGACGGUACCUAAUCAGAAGGCCACGGCUAACUACGUG
rnacentral:rRNA from 1 species